rnacentral:lncRNA from 1 species
CCCAUUGACAAACCUAAGCACAACAGCUUCAACAUAUGCACAGAAAUUUCUUUGAAAAAUAUGGUGGGAAUUGCCCACUUUGAGAUUGAACCUGCAACCUCUUCCCCAAUCUAGGUAGGUGCCGUGGGGUAAGGAUAAAAAUGCAUAUGCUAAGGCUUGUCUCAUAAUAUAGAAGAUAAAAAAAAGACCUUAUUGCGGCC